rnacentral:rRNA from 1 species
CAAUAGCGUAUAUUAAAGUUGUUGCAGUUAAAAAGCUCGUAGUCGGAUUUUGGCAUCACGCCGAACUGUCUGCCGAUUGGUAAGUACGGUUUGGCGGGUGCUUCCUUCCGGAGGCUCGUUCCCUUCUUCAUUGAAGGGUUCGUUGGUUCCGGGUCUUUUACUUUGAGAAAAUUAGAGUGUUCAAAGCAGGCCUAUGCUCUGAAUACAUUAGCAUGGAAUAAUACUAUAGGAUCUUGAUUCUAUUUUGUUGGUUUCUAGAAUUGAGAUAAUGAUUAAUAGGGACAAUUGGGGGCAUUCGUAUCAACACGUCAGAGGUGGAAUUCUUGGAUUGUGUUGCGACGAACUACUGCGAAAGCAUUUGCCAAGGAUGUUUUCAUUGAUCAAGAACGAAAGUAAGGGGAUCGAAGACGAUUAGAUACCAU